rnacentral:lncRNA from 1 species
UUUAUUCGCGGUAACUCAUAAAAAUUGAAGUUCAAUUUUUUUUAACAAGUCCCAUUUCCCUCUCAAACCCUCUUCCCAAUUCCCUCUCAAACCAUCAGAAGAAGAUGAUAAGAAGAUAACAUUUCCAUCAACGAUUCAUCUGCUUCGACACCAACAGAUCAUAUAUUGUCGUCUCGCCAUCACAGAAUAUCAGAUUUCUGGUAUUCUCCCGGUGUUGUUGAGGUGGAGAUGGACGGUUGUGAUUAAUCGGGUGUUGAGUUGGUUGGUGGUCCAAUGGUAGGUGGUGGCUGAAGUGGUAAUAGGGGCGGCGUCUAAACGCUGUUGUGAUUGUUGUUCUGGUGCGUCAUUUCUCAAUCUUACACAGUUCAAUUAGAUUUGGAUUCUGAUCCGCAGUGGUGAUUUGUUGAUAUUAAAUCUCAUGAUUAUGAGUUGCACACCACUUGCUCGAUGAAUUGCUUCGAUGAAAAGUUUUGUUCAUUGGCUACAAUACACAUGUGCUAGGCAGGCUAUAAACUUAACGGGAAGGUUGAUUUCUAUCUUUGAUGCACAUUAACCAAUUAUCAAGUAGUGAGGAUACUUUUGAUUCAUGUCAAAAGUAAAAGUAAAAGAAAAAGUUCAAUUUUUGUGCCCGAAACAACCAUUUACCAGUGCAGAACCAGCAGUACAAGUCCAUGCAGCAACUCAACAGGUCAACGCUUCAGCUGUGCCACCAACGACACCCAAUCCAAAGGCUAACCAAAUCAAGCGUCCUCAUGUCGGGUCGGCAGCCGAACGCCAAGAAGGUGCAUGGCGAAUCAAUAACCAGUAGGAAGCUUUUGAAUGACUUCAAAUGUUAAACAUGCUCUUGGAGGGUUGCCUUGAUGUCACAAUAUUGCAUUGGUUUGCCAUGCAUUUCUUUGAGUCAUCCAAUUCUAGGUGUGCUUUUUUCAAUCCACAAAAAAAUCACUGGAUCACGGUGUAAAACACUUCUUGAAGACGUUAAAAAAACAUAAAAGAAAAAUGUGAGCUUCAUUCUAAAAAAGUUUGCACCAUACUUAGCCGGUAAACAUUGGUCGCUUAUAAUUGUUUGCCCGGACUUCAAAUUCGGCUAUAUGGUUGAUUCCAUAAAUGAAGGGAAGACCCAUAAAAAUUACAUGCUCGUCAAGAUCAUUGAAGAAGUUUUUAAGAUUAAUUUUAAGUGGCACAUGGCAUAGUGCAAACAACAGAAAGGCAAUUGGGAAUGUGGGUAUAUGGUAAGCAAACAUAUGAAAGAGUUUAUCGACUCUAUACAACAUGAUUUGGUUAACCGACUUUAGAAUGAAGAAGGGUGUUUUGAAGAAUCUCAAAUUGAGAAUUUAGUAGUAGAUUUAAUGUCAGGAUUUAUUAAAAAGAUGUUUUGAUCUUGUAAGCAUUAGUUUGUGUUUCAUACUUUUGUAAUUCCGUAUACUUGAACGGGUUGUUUAAUACUAGUUAACUUUUGUCGU